CGGCAGUCAAAGCGGUGGUGGGUACCCACCAGCGAACAACUCGGCCGUCUCCCGAUUCUUCCGCACGACCUCCUCCAUCGCCGCACGACCUCCUCCAUCGAAACCCUCGCUAACCAAUCCCCACCUCCACCGUCCUCUCUAGGCGAUCUCAUCCAUGGCCGAGAUCCUCCUCAGCUGCAUCGCCACCCCCACCAUCACCAUAUCGGAGAGUUGUGCCCAUCCUCUUCCUUUCAUCCAAACCUCAUCCCGCCACCGCGCGGACAUAUCGUCGUCCCAGCCAACGGAAGACGGCCUCAUACGUAAGAAGACAGGGGCCAGGAGCUCUCCGAGCGGCGACGCGGCUCCACGGGACGAGCAGCAGCGCCGGCCAGAAUUUGAAGCCGCGCUCUCUGCUCUGUCGAUUACAGCGCCCACUUCCUCGGAAGGGCGUGGCGGCUGACGUGUGCGCGGGUCAGCAGCAAGCUGGAGGCGACAAAACGGAGGCGCCCGACGUUGGACGCGCGAGCCGGAUGUUUUCGUGGAUGCCUUCGACGGCCGACGGCCGGCCGUGGCCAAUCAGAGGCGGGCUCACUCUGGAGCUCCAUCGUAACCUGCACGCCCUCAAUUCUAUGGUAAUAAUGGCGAGCGGCGGCCACGAGCGCAUCCCCGACCACGACGGCGCAGUGGCCAGUGCACACUAGGAGAUUGACCUCCGCCAGCAUCUCCUCCACGGGAAUUGCAAGCCGUCCUUUACGGCUUUACCGCACGUACGCGUCAACAUAAACGGCUGCGCGAGGCGACCCUGUCUCUUCUGCAGAUGCGUGUCCUCCGCCUGUGCGUUUCUACUGGGGUGCAGCCUCCAGGCGGCACAACGAGCAGUAAGGUCGGUGGUGCAGAUCCUCACGUAUUUGAUGGAAUGUCCCAUAGGUUUAAUUUGUGUACACCAUUGUAUCUUGCAGCUGGCGAGAUGGUUAGUGUGUUCAGUACAAGAAGAUUGGUGUUAAUAUUAUCAAGAAAUAGACUUCUGUCAAUUGUUCUUGAGGUCAAUUUUUAAAUGGGGAUCAUUGGUCCUCUUCUCUCCAAUGUACAGAAGGCUAUGGAAGCAGUUUGGUUUGAGGCCUCGGGAGUGAGUGCACCGCCACCAUUGCUCUCUGGAGUCGCUCGCCGCAAUCAAGAAUUGUCUCCCCGCCACUUGGAAUCAUUCUCUCCUCUGCCGCCUCAAUUACUCUUUGAUUUCACCAGUCAUUGCAUAGCAUUUCAUUAAUUUUAUGUAUACUCGCCGUAAUGUUGUUUCUACAAAUUGACGUAUCCCGUUUCCCCGUAUCCGCAUCGGCGUAUCUGUCUUGCCGUAUCGGUGCUUCGUAGUGUAUAAGAGCUAAUAAUUUUAGUUUUCUUAUUAAACAACCAAUUUACCACUAUUAGUUUUAUUUUUGCUCAAGAAAAACACUCCGUUAUCUUUCUUCAUGCAAACGAACUAUUAUCUUGGACCAUUAUUCAGAUAAAAUAUUUCUUAUUAAUGAUCCAAGAGGGUGACCUGGUAUUUGUUAGGUUUAUAGGUAUAUUGUGUUGAGUACCAUCUGUUUCUUUGUCACUCAGAUUAAUGUGUACAUUCUCAUCUUUUUUACACCCUCUAGGCUGAACUGGAGACGGCCUAGAAGUUAUAUAUGGUCAGUUCAAUUAUGGCUUCAUUGGAUAGGAUAUUCAGUAGAAGAUAGCGAGCACAUCAAGUUAAUAAUUAUAAGAAGAGCCUAAGCGAAGUUAUAUAUGGUCAGUUCAAUUAUGGCUUCAUUGGAUAGGAUAUUCAGUAGAAGAUAGCGAGCACAUCAAGUUAAUAAUUAUAAGAAGAGCCUAAGCGAGCAUACUGAACUUGGAUGGCACAAACUUUUCGAUUUUGUAGUUUUACAUGAUUUUAUCAGCCUUGCAUUCUUAAUUUCAUUAGCGUGAAUAUUGUGACCAGACAAACUACUUCUGCGGAGAAUCAGAGUUGAACAAAAAACAUCUGAAUGAACACCCGCAGAUGGUAAUCUUACUUAUUCUACCAUUCAUCAUCUGCUAGCUAUUUGAGUAGCAACUGUUUUUUCACAAGAGUUCAGUGUAUAUCCAUCACUCCUAUACUCUCCCAGAUAGUAUUUUCAUAUCAUUUAACAUUUGCCGCUAAAUGCGAUGGACCAGUGGUUGUCAUGUGUUUUUGCUUGGCUGAUUAGAGAAAUCAAUUUUUUAAUCCUUUAAUUAAAUGAUUCGAAGCUGCUGGUAAAAUAUACAUUCUCUGUUUCUUAUGAAGUAUGCUCCCAACUUAUUGGAUCUCAUAAUUUUGCUUUUUUAUUAGUGGCAAUUAAGAGAGGCAGGAGAACCUAUAGGGAAGCCUGGAGCUCAAAACUGAAGAGAUGGCACCCACGCACCGUUGCCUGUCACGCAUUGCUAGGAACGGAAUGAAGUGGUAUUUAAGCACCUAAGAGGCAUAGUCCUUCCAGUUUGCCUACAUAGGACCUCCAGUACAUCUAUGAAUAGCUGAAGUCUUCUUUGUUCAACUUAUCUAUCUUGGUAUUUGUUUCCAUAUGUUUAAAGCAUCUAGAAAACAAAAGGCUACGAUCUGCAUGUCUAAAGGAAUAUUACAACAUUGGAUUGCUUAAAGCCGGAGCCAGAUAUUCUGUUCAAUAAGCUCUAACCUCGCUCUCCAUCUUAAGAAUUGUUGGAAGAUGUACCUGUGAAUCCUCCACAUUGUACACCUUCAGGAGCUUGCCUUUUUCUUUUGUAGAACACACUGUGUGCUUGGGAUUUGGUAUAUGCUUUGUUGAACUGCUAGCGUUAAUUUCUGUAACCUGUAACCACUGUCUCGUGGCCACCGAUCGAAGCUACAAGGUAGAGAAUCCUCUACCUUUUUCUUCAAAAAAAAUUGUUAGCAUAAUAUACAACAGUGCAACAUCAACUGGAGUAGGGGAGUUAUGAGUCGUGGAACAAGAAUUCUAACCUGAGGUCAUAAUUUGCAGAAACAUGCACUUUGAAUUCUGGUUCUUGCCAAUAGUGUGCUAUAUUAUUGUUAUAUGAUUAUAUCGGGUACUGAAUAUACAAGAUUAUAAUAUAAGUUACCCCUUGUGCUUUACUCAAUGGCAUGAUGCCAUUCUUAGAAUAAACAUUCUUUUCAUAUGUGCAUAAUUUCUAUUUCAAAAUAAACCAUCAACACCUGCAUAAACUAACCAGGAAAUAUAUCUGACUUAAAUGUGAAUUUCUCUUAGUUAGAUUCUCUAGCUUUGUCUUGUGAUGCUGAUACUCAAAUGUCUUGCUAUAUUGCAGGUUUGACGUGCCAUCUUCAUUCGAUAUUACUUGAAGUUAGUUUGGCUAGCGGCCGGUGUUAUUGGAUGGUGGUCCUGACAUGCCAGGCAAUUCAACUUUUGUCUCUACUUCUGAUUUUUCUCUCUCUAUCCCACCCGUGGUUGGGUUUUCCACUGAAAGAUUAUGAAUUUAUUAGGAGAGAUCACAGAUGAAACAACAUUUGACUCUUAUAUGUGUAGUCUUUUGUUGUCUUACCAUCCUGAUUGUUAAUGUUGUGCACAUGUAUAUUUAAUUUGGUGCAUCUACCUUCUAAUUUCUUCUCUGGUUUGUACCCAUUCCAUAUAUUGAUGGUUCAGUUUUGAAUACAAA